GCCCGCUGUUGGUGCAGCACGGGGCAGCUGACGGGCACCCAGCAAUGGCACCGCACCAGGGACAGUUAACCCUUCUGUCGCCGUGCCCCCCGAGCGGCUCUGCCACCCAAAGACGGGGCCAGGCCGUGGGGCAGCAGCUGCUGUCCCUCUUGGGGUGCUCCUCCUGCAAGAGCCUGUGCCAUAGCAGUCCCCAGAAGCAGCCAGGAAGGCAGGGGACAGCUUCCCAGGGACCCAGCACCGAGACCAAGCAUCUGGGCAUUUGGCAUCCUCCUCCAAGUGCAGCCUUGCCAGUAGCAGCCUCACUUGGAGCUGACCCACACUGCCUCCAGGGAGAGCCCACACCAGCCAUCAGACCCAACUGCAGCUGAAUGAGGAAGCCAGCUAGAAGACAAUGCACUGGAAUAUCCCAGAGGACUGGAAAUCAGAGUUGUAGUCUCUAAACACCGAGUGUGUAAUUUGCUGCAAAGUUGACACCCUUUCUGCUUUGUCUUGAUGUGUUUUCCAUUUGUUUUAUCCCCUUUAAAUUUUUGUCUCUGUUCUUCAGACAGAAAAAGC
rnacentral:lncRNA from 12 species